ensembl:lncRNA
GUAGAGUCUAGAGAUGCGCUUGUCGAAAUCUCUCGCCCAGCUAUUUGCAAUUAUUUCCCGUUGACAUGUAACUUUCACCCUUUUGUCGGCUCGUUGGUCUAGGGGUAUGAUUCUCGCUUAGGGUGCGAGAGGUCCCGGGUCCAAAUCCCGGACGAGCCCGGAAGUGCUCUUUUGAAAAGUCAAUAGAUGUGAUUAGUAAAAUGAAAUAUGUCCGUACGAAAAGGUCACUUCCAAAUUUAUUCAACUAACGUAGAGUCUAGAGAUGCGCUUGUCGAAUUCUCUCGCCCAGCUAUUUGCAAUUAUUUCCCGUUGACAUGUAACUUUCACCCUUUUGUCGGCUCGUUGGUCUAGGGGUAUGAUUCUCGCUUAGGGUGCGAGAGGUCCCGGGUCCAAAUCCCGGACGAGCCCGGAAUUGGUCUUUUGAAACAGUCAAUGGCUGUGAUUAGUCAAACGAAAUAUUUCUAUACGAAAACGUUACUUCCAAAUUUAUUCAACUAACGUAGAGUCUAGAGAUGCGCUUGUCGAAUUCUCUCGCCCAGCUAUUUGCAAUUAUUUCCCGUUGACAUGUAACUUUCACCCUUUUGUCGGCUCGUUGGUCUAGGGGUAUGAUUCUCGCUUCGGGUGCGAGAGGUCCCGGGUUCAAAUCCCGGACGAGCCCGAUGGAACUUGUUUGAUGCUGUUAGCGGUUGUAAUUUGUAAAUGAUGACAAAAAAGUUACUCCCCAAUUUGGUCAGUGAACGACCAUAUUGCUAGUUUGUUUCCAAAAAAUAGGCAAACACAACAAACUAGUGAAAAAAAAACAAGCAAUUUGUUGACCACGGAUACGCUGAUUCAAUUCUCUUGCCUGGCCAAAUAGGAUUUUGUCCCAUGGACAUAGCAUUAAUAGUUUUUGUCGGCUCGUUGGUCUAGGGGUAUGAUUCUCGCUUUGGGUGCGAGAGGUCCCGGGUCCAAAUCCCGGACGAGCCCGGAAUUGGUCUUUUGAAACAGUCAAUGGCUGUGAUUAGUCAAACGAAAUAUUUCUAUACGAAAACGUUACUUCCAAAUUUAUUCAACUAACGUAGAGUCUAGAUAUGCGCUUUUCAAAUUCUCUCGCCUAGCUAUUUGCGAUUAUGUCCUGUUUUCAUGUAACUUUGACCCUUUUGUCGGCUCGUUGGUCUAGGGGUAUGAUUCUCGCUUCGGGUGCGAGAGGUCCCGGGUUCAAAUCCCGGACGAGCCUGAUGGAACUUGUUUGAUGCUGUUAGCGGUUGUAAUUUGUAAAUGAUGACAAAAAAGUUACUCCCCAAUUUGGUCAGUGAACGACCAUAUUGCUAGUAUGUUUCCAAAAAAUAGGCAAACACAACAAACUAGUGAAAAAAAACAAGCAAUUUGUUGACCACGGAUACGCUGAUUCAAUUCUCUUGCCUGGCCAAAUAGGAUUUUGUCCCAUGGACAUAGCAUUAAUAGUUUUUGUCGGCUCGUUGGUCUAGGGGUAUGAUUCUCGCUUUGGGUGCGAGAGGUCCCGGGUCCAAAUCCCGGACGAGCCCGGAAGUGCUCUUUUGAAAAAGUCAAUAGAUGUGAUUAGUAAAAUGAAAUAUGUCCAUACGAAAAGGUCACUUCCAAAUUUAUUCAACUAACGUAGAGUCUAGAGAUGCGCUUGUCGAAUUCUCUCGCCCAGCUAUUUGCAAUUAUUUCCCGUUGACAUGUAACUUUCACCCUUUUGUCGGCUCGUUGGUCUAGGGGUAUGAUUCUCGCUUAGGGUGCGAGAGGUCCCGGGUCCAAAUCCCGGACGAGCCCGGAAUUGGUCUUUUGAAACAGUCAAUGGCUGUGAUUAGUCAAACGAAAUAUUUCUAUACGAAAACGUUACUUCCAAAUUUAUUCAACUAACGUAGAGUCUAGAGAUGCGCUUGUCGAAUUCUCUCGCCCAGCUAUUUGC